UACGAAGGGUGCAAGCGUUACUCGGAAUUACUGGGCGUAAAGCGUGCGCAGGCGGUUGUGCAAGACAGGUGUGAAAUCCCCGGGCUUAACCUGGGAACUGCACUUGUGACUGCACAGCUGGAGUACGGCAGAGGGGGAUGGAAUUCCGCGUGUAGCAGUGAAAUGCGUAGAGAUCGGCAGGAACACCCAGGGGGAAACCAGCCGACUGGGCAUUUGCUGACGCUGAGGUGCGAGAGCGUGGGGAGCGAACCGG
rnacentral:rRNA from 1 species